GACGAACGCUGGCGGCGUGCUUAACACAUGCAAGUCGAACGGAAAGGCCCUGCUUUUGUGGGGUGCUCGAGUGGCGAACGGGUGAGUAACACGUGAGUAACCUGCCCUUGACUUUGGGAUAACUUCAGGAAACUGGGGCUAAUACCGGAUAGGAGCUCCUGCUGCAUGGUGGGGGUUGGAAAGUUUCGGCGGUUGGGGAUGGACUCGCGGCUUAUCAGCUUGUUGGUGGGGUAGUGGCUUACCAAGGCUUUGACGGGUAGCCGGCCUGAGAGGGUGACCGGCCACAUUGGGACUGAGAGACGCCCCAGACUCCUACGGGAGGCAGCAGUGGGGAAUAUUGCACAAUGGGCGGAAGCCUGAUGCAGCAACGCCGCGUGCGGGAUGACGGCCUUCGGGUUGUAAACCGCUUUCGCCUGUGACGAAGCGUGAGUGACGGUAAUGGGUAAAGAAGCACCGGCUAACUACGUG
rnacentral:rRNA from 1 species